rnacentral:rRNA from 1 species
UACGUAGGUGGCAAGCGUUGUCCGGAUUUACUGGGCGUAAAGAGCGCGCAGGCGGUCGUUCAAGUCGCGUGUGAAAGCCCCCGGCUCAACUGGGGAGGGUCACGCGAUACUGAUCGACUCGAAGGCAGGAGAGGGUAGUGGAAUUCCACGUGUAGCAGUGAAAUGCGUAGAGAAUGUGGAGGAACACCGAUGGCGAAGGCAGCCAUCUGGACCGACACUGACGCUGAGGCGCGAAAGCGUGGGGAGCAAACAGG